rnacentral:miRNA from 1 species
AGUUAGCCUGCUCUUUGAAGCAUUGAAGUCAGGCAUUGACUUCUCUCUAGCUAUGAAUGUCCUAUAUGGCAUUCUAAUAGA